GGCGGCGUGCUUAACACAUGCAAGUCGAACGGUAAGGCCCUUCGGGGUACACGAGUGGCGAACGGGUGAGUAACACGUGGGUAAUCUGCCCUGCACAUCGGGAUAAGCCUGGGAAACUGGGUCUAAUACCGAAUAGGACCACAGAACACAUGUCCUGUGGUGGAAAGCUUUUGCGGUGUGGGAUGGGCCCGCGGCCUAUCAGCUUGUUGGUGGGGUGAUGGCCCACCAAGGCGACGACGGGUAGCCGGCCUGAGAGGGUGUCCGGCCACACUGGGACUGAGAUACGGCCCAGACUCCUACGGGAGGCAGCAGUGGGGAAUAUUGCACAAUGGGCGAAAGCCUGAUGCAGCGACGCCGCGUGGGGGAUGACGGCCUUCGGGUUGUAAACCUCUUUCACCAUCGACGAAGGUUCGGGUUUUCUCGGAUUGACGGUAGGUGGAGAAGAAGCACCGGCCAACUACGUGCCAGCAGCCGCGGUAAUACGUAGGGUGCGAGCGUUGUCCGGAAUUACUGGGCGUAAAGAGCUCGUAGGUGGUUUGUCGCGUUGUUCGUGAAAUCUCACGGCUUAACUGUGAGCGUGCGGGCGAUACGGGCAGACUUGAGUACUGCAGGGGAGACUGGAAUUCCUGGUGUAGCGGUGGAAUGCGCAGAUAUCAGGAGGAACACCGGUGGCGAAGGCGGGUCUCUGGGCAGUAACUGACGCUGAGGAGCGAAAGCGUGGGGAGCGAACAGGAUUAGAUACCCUGGUAGUCCACGCCGUAAACGGUGGGUACUAGGUGUGGGUUUCCUUCCUUGGGAUCCGUGCCGUAGCUAACGCAUUAAGUACCCCGCCUGGGGAGUACGGCCGCAAGGCUAAAACUCAAAGAAAUUGACGGGGGCCCGCACAAGCGGCGGAGCAUGUGGAUUAAUUCGAUGCAACGCGAAGAACCUUACCUGGGUUUGACAUGCACAGGACGCCGGCAGAGAUGUCGGUUCCCUUGUGGCCUGUGUGCAGGUGGUGCAUGGCUGUCGUCAGCUCGUGUCGUGAGAUGUUGGGUUAAGUCCCGCAACGAGCGCAACCCUUGUCUCAUGUUGCCAGCGGGUAAUGCCGGGGACUCGUGAGAGACUGCCGGGGUCAACUCGGAGGAAGGUGGGGAUGACGUCAAGUCAUCAUGCCCCUUAUGUCCAGGGCUUCACACAUGCUACAAUGGCCGGUACAGAGGGCUGCGAUGCCGCGAGGUUAAGCGAAUCCUUUUAAAGCCGGUCUCAGUUCGGAUCGGGGUCUGCAACUCGACCCCGUGAAGUCGGAGUCGCUAGUAAUCGCAGAUCAGCAACGCUGCGGUGAAUACGUUCCCGGGCCUUGUACACACCGCCCGUCACGUCAUGAAAGUCGGUAACACCCGAAGCCAGUGGCCUAACCCUUUGGGAGGGAGCUGUCGAAGGUGGGAUCGGCGAUUGGGACGAAGUCGUAAC
rnacentral:rRNA from 1 species